CCAUCUCCACCAGUGAGAGGCAGCAGUGCACGAACAGGCAGUGUGUUGGUGAAGAAGAAAUCUUCCAUAUUGUGGGGCCAACCUAACACAAGUUAUAACGGCCAGACCUCCUGUUUAAAAAGAAGCCAAAGUUUGACACCUAAUACAUAUGAGCCACAUGAAGACCCAUGUUAGCCUAGGACACAUGGUGGGGGACAAAGUUGGCUAAUGAAGACAUGCUACGAGUGUGGAGGAUGAUAAUGAGGACCAGCCACCAGAGAAAGAAGUUCCUGUUUGACCAAAGAGAAAGAAGCA